GGGCGAUUAGCUCAAGUGGUAGAGCGCUCGCUUAGCAUGCGAGAGGUACGGGGAUCGAUACCCCGAUCGUCCA